GAAAGAGGGGGCGAGCGUUGGCCGGAGUCACUGGGCGUAAAGGGUGCGUAGGCGGUCGGGUAAGUUCGAGGUGAAAUCUUCAGGCUCAACCUGGAAACUGCAUUGAAUACUAUGCGGCUGGAAGGUUGGAGGGGAGACUGGAAUGCUCGGUGUAGCAGUGAAAUGCGUAGAUAUCGAGAGGAACACCAAUGGCGAAGGCGGGUCUCUGGUCAACACCUGACGCUGAGGCACGAAAGCCUGGGGAGCAAACAGG
rnacentral:rRNA from 1 species